CUGGAAAGUCUUUGGGAGUUUCUGCAGGACUCGCUGGCCCAGCCCUGGGCCCUGGAGGAUGAGGGGGUGCUCAGAUACCUUCAGGCCUCCAUGGCCCAGCUCUGAAGGAUGAAGUGUGACCUGUCCCCUUCAGGAAGCAGAUGGGCUGGCCUCCUCAGGCCCGGACACCCAACCUGAGCAGCCUGGACCUUCUCCAGCCAGGCCAUCCUCAAGGCUGAGGAGCCACUGCAGGAGGGAAGCUCCCAGAACCCACAGCUGCACACCCGUGUCCAGGAACUCCAGGGGCUCUGGUUCUGGCCUGUCUGCCCCCAGCCCAGGACCUGUCGCUGGCCCGACUGCCCCCACAGCAUGGAAUUCCCUCCCCAUCCUCCUGGUGAAUCAGGAGGGUAUAUGCAGGGGGCCCCCAGACAUGGGCUUGAAGCCAGAACAUUGGGUCCCUUUCCCUUUAGGGCCACCCCAGAGGCCACACGACAGAUCAGGCCCUGGAACCCCCUGGACUCCUGUCACGGGGUCCACUCAGCCCAUUAAAGAUGAUGCAGUAGGGAUCAGGAUACCUUCCUGCCUUGUGGCCACUGCAGCUCAUGCCCCUCGUUGGGCAGUGACAGCUAGGACAGAGCCAAGGCAGUGCUGAGCCAGCUGCCCCAAGGCCCUGCACAUGCCUAGGACUCUCUGACCUCCAUGUCCACAGGGAAGCUAGAUGCUCAUGAGUCUCUGGAACAGAGCAUGAUGGUGAGUGUGGAGGCCCUGAGGCUCUGGCCAGCCGGUACCACGCCCUGCCUCAUCUCACUGUCCUUCCUGGAAAGCAGCACCCCCCGAUCCCCCGGCCAGGACACAAGUCCCUGACCCAGAGGGGCCUGGGCUGGCCUGGUCUGGGCUCUAGGGGUACAGAGUUGACUUGAACUUGGCCACAACCAGAAUGAAGACUGACGGGACUGAGCCCCCCAUCGCCCGGAACAGUCCUGGAUUCUGUCCCAAGGCUGGGCGAGCCCUCUCAGGGCAGUAUGUGGCCUCCUGGGGCCUGAGCAUGCCUCACAGAUCCAGGUUGUUGACCUAGGGCAGCGCUGGGAAUAACAGGGCACCCAGCCAAGGGGUAGCAGGGGUGGGCCCCACCCUCACCCACACUAGGAGGCAGGUUCCUCCACAUGCUGGGUCUCGAGCAGUCAGUCACCUGGCACCAAUGGGCCAGAGGCUGGGGCCCAGCAGACAUGAUGGGACCCUGCUUGGGAAACCCAAAGCUGCAGGUCCAGGUCAGGUCUGCUGUCCUCAGAACUGCCUUUCAGGGCCCCAACCUCAGGAAAUGUGCCCCCACCCAGAGUCAGCAAAGGCUCCAAGGUACAGGACUCUAGCACCCGCACCCCCGUGUGUUUUUGGAUUUCCUCUAAAGGACAAUAAGGUCUCCCUUCCCAGGGGAAGGCACACACCCUUGGCCCCUGUUUGCUGUUGAAAGUUCAAUAAAGUAUGUUAAAAUGCAAA